GUUAAAAAGCUCGUAGUUGGAUUUCUGGUUGGAGCGACCGGUCGGGCAUUGAUUUGUCUGCACUGGAGUCGGUUCCGUCCAUCCUCUCGGAAAGUGCGUAUGGCAUUAAGUUGUCGUGCGUAUGAUCCGGGUCUUUUACUGUGAAAAAAUUAGAGUGUUUAAAGCAGGCCUUCGCCUUGAAUACAUUAGCAUGGAAUAAUAAGAUAGGACUUGGGUCUAUUUUGUUGGUUUGCAGACCGAAGUAAUGAUUAAUAGGGAUAGUUGGGGGUAUUUAUAUUCCGAUGUCAGAGGUGAAAUUCUUAGAUUUUCGGAAGAUAAACUUAUGCGAAAGCAUUUACCAAGGAUGUUUUCAUUAAUCAAGAACGAAAGUUAGGGGAUCGAAGAUGAUUA
rnacentral:rRNA from 1 species